GCAAAUGUCAAAGUUGACAACAUUCUAUUUUACACGAGUAGUUGGGCUUUGAAGCAAAAGAUGAGAGUUUCUCUUCCUUUUAGUGGAAGAGAAGGAUGAAUGAGUAGGAAACCAAAAGCAAAUAGAAGGAAGGUGAGGUGUUUUAAGGUGAAUGAGUUUUGGUUUUAAGCAAGGUGUGGUGUUUGAGGUUAGUCAUGAAAACAAAAGAAAAGCGAAAAGUAGAAAAAAGAGUUAAGUAGAGGAUUAGUUGUAUGUAUGUACAUGAAUUGGUAUAAAUUGAGAAUGAGUAGAUGUAAGUUGUGGGGAAAAGAAAGAAGAAUAAUAUUGUGAAGUGAGUUUGAUAAAUGAGAAUGGAAGAAAUGGAAGGAAUGUACAUGUGGGUUAUGUGGAGUUUGAAAAGAGAGGAAAUUAAGUGUUUUGAAUAUUUUUGAUAGUUGAAAUAAAAGAGAAAAAGUGGAAAAUUGAGAGAUUGGGAAGAUUUAGUAAUUCUGUAAAAUUAAAACUUAUGGACCCACGUGGGGCCCACGUUGGUGGGAGAGUAAUUUUAUUCUUUUAGGAGCGUAAACUUAUUAAGUUCAGAAGGGUGCCUCAAUCAAGCUAUUUAAAACAAUUUUUGAGAAUUUUUGGUUAUAUUGUUGGUCUACUUUUGGUUGGUUUUAUAUAUAUUUUUAAGAAUAUGUAUGAGUUUGUGAUUGAGCAUGGUUGUUUUGUUGGUCUACAUUUUUUGUUGGUUUAUAUAUGUUAUUGAGAAUAUGUAUGAAUUCCUUAUUGAGCACA
rnacentral:lncRNA from 1 species